GUCACCUCCUGUCACUCCCAGGGUAGGACCUGGGCACAGGGCGGGGGGACCGACACCAUGUUCUUCUGGAGGUGCUGCACAGAGCCACGGGAUGAAGCUGCAGGAUGUCAUGGAAACAUACAUGUCUCUGAUGAAAGACAUUUCCCAGAGGAAGGAGCUGCUGAUCAAAACUGAGAGACACUGCUGUCAUGGAGGAGACGUCCCUGCAAAUCUACUGCAGAGCAUAGAACCACAUCAAGAGGCCUGGUAAUGAGCACUAGGCUUGUUUGAUGCUGCAAGGUGGGCAGAAGAACCUGCAGAAGCCAGUCCUGUAGGGAAGUUUGUUGUCAAGUGGCUGAAUGUAGCACUCUGCAAGCUGCAAUGAUAUGAAACCACUUCUGCAUUAAAUAAUAAAGAGACCUGUAGCUGUGUUGUGAGAUCAUCUCACAACAGAGGGGAGAUCAUCUGUUGUGAGACCAAUCUCACAGAGGGGACACUGAGAUGAGCUCUUAGGCAGAAGCUCUUCCCUGUGAGGGUGCUGAGGCCCUGGCACAGGGUGCCCAGAGAAGCUGUGGCUGCCCCAUCCCUGGCAGUGCUCAAGGCCAGGUUGGACACAGGGGCUUGGAGCACCCUGGUCUAGUGGAAGGUGUCCCUGCCUGUGGCUAGGGGUUGGAACUGGAUGAGCUUUAAGGUCCCUUCCAACCCAAACCAGUCUGGGAUGCUAUAAUGCUCUGGUGAUCAAAUCUGACAUGUUCACAAGAACUGUCCUUUCUCUCUGGGCAAGUCCCGGUAAUCACUUAACGUGGGAGGGACCAGAGGGGAUUCCCUGGGAGACAUGGGAGUGCAACAUCUCCGGCUGUGUACUGGCCACAGAAGAGAGCAAAGCAGUGUGAGCAUACAGGGCAAAUCAUUUCAACAUGACAUGCAUGAACCAACCAGACCUUCUGAUCACAAAAGGAUACUUCAUUUACCUAAGGAAACAACAAGAUGGGAGCUGUUACCCCUUUCCCACGCAGCUGGCGCAAGUACAAGUGUCU